UGUGGAUCUCAGAAGAGUUUCCCAAGUUGGCCAACCAGUCAGCUGCAAAGUUGGCUUCUCUGUAGACUUGGUGAUCCGGUUCUUGUGGUUUGCUUUUUUUUUGUUAAUGUUGUAAUAUUGAAUCCAUGUUGAGGCUCAAUAUUUGAUCUAUGCUGCAAAAUUUACGAUUCAAGGUGCAUCUCCUAGCUCCAGUUCUGCAGAACAAGUUUUUUUUGCCAUAGAAUUAUUGCUCAAGAACAUAUUUAUUUGAAAAUGAGUCUAGUGGAGAGAGAGAGGGAGAUUUCUCUCCUAUAGUCAGAAAAAUAGAUGGUAACAUUGACGCAGCCCCCAUGGUUAAUUACAGCAGUAUAUAGGUUGAGGAUGAGGUCUCUUGCAAUCUACCAUGGUGAUGUUGGACAGUUGUGAAAAGCUAAAUAUUUGAAGAAUUCUCAAUGAGGAUCAAUCUAUUCUGGAUUGGUGAUGCAAGAAAUUGGCUUGGAAAUUUCUCACUGAGGAUCAAUCUAUUUGGGUUCAGUUGUGAAAAACUAAAUAUUUGAAGAAUUCGUGUUUGUUUCCUUCAAAGGUACUUUCUCAUCUUUUUGUUCUGUAGAAGAAGAUGAGCUGAUGGCAAUCUUCAAAGCUCUAACCUAGGCUAAACACAAUGGAGAAAUGCUGUUAUCUUUUUGGAUGCUUUGUCUGCUAUUUGGCUUUUAAGAUUAAAAGUCAAGGAGUUUCUUGGAAUCUCUGGAGUAAGCAGCAAGGCGACAGACUUUUCAACAAAAACUCCAUCUACUGACAAGGA